AGUGAACGCUGGCGGCAGGCCUAACACAUGCAAGUCGAACGGCAGCACAGUAAGAGCUUGCUCUUACGGGUGGCGAGUGGCGGACGGGUGAGGAAUACAUCGGAAUCUACUUUUUCGUGGGGGAUAACGUAGGGAAACUUACGCUAAUACCGCAUACGACCUACGGGUGAAAGCAGGGGAUCUUCGGACCUUGCGCGAUUGAAUGAGCCGAUGUCGGAUUAGCUAGUUGGCGGGGUAAAGGCCCACCAAGGCGACGAUCCGUAGCUGGUCUGAGAGGAUGAUCAGCCACACUGGAACUGAAACACGGUCCAGACUCCUACGGGAGGCAGCAGUGGGGAAUAUUGGACAAUGGGCGCAAGCCUGAUCCAGCCAUACCGCGUGGGUGAAGAAGGCCUUCGGGUUGUAAAGCCCUUUUGUUGGGAAAGAAAAGCAGCAGGUUAAUACCCCGCUGUUCUGACGGUACCCAAAGAAUAAGCACCGGCUAACUUCGUG
rnacentral:rRNA from 1 species